AGGUAGGGAGGAUAAUGGAAAGAAAGCAGGCGGCGGGAAAAUUUCGAGAGAAAUUAAACAGAAAGCAAGUCAGCUUUGGGUAGAGACAGCCAACGGCGCCCCCGCCUGGGUUCUGCGCGCAGCAUCCUCGUCGUCGAACUACAUUUCCCGGCUGGCCUGCGAGCGCGGGGCGCAGGGCCUAGAGCGCCGUCGGGGACUGGCCCCGCGCGGACUAGUCCAAUCUCGAUAGUCGCCGGCAAUCUUCCGCCUCCGCCGACAACAUGGAGGCUGAGCUCAGCCGCCCCUGGGAAGAGGCGCUGUAAGGCAGGAGAUGGGGAAGAGCCGCAGCCCCAGCCGCCCAGCCGAAGCAGCCGGCCCGCGUCGCGGUCCGGAGGCAGAAGCAGGUGUGGCAGGAGAGGCCAAGAGGCUGCCCUUGUGGGCACACUGGUAGCUACUGUGGAAACUGGCAGUGCGGAGAGGCUUCAUCAAGGUGUGUGGCUCAGGGAGGCGGAAUGAAGACAACUUCCCGCCUGCAGGUGUCGGGGAAGGCACCCCUUGGUGGGAUUGGCCUCCGCCACAGUGCCAAGCGGGACCGAAAGUCCAUCACCCUGCAUAUGAAGUUAGAGGUGCUUCGGAGGUUUGAGGAAGGUGAGAAGUUGACUCAGAUUGCCCGGGCCUUGGGGCUGGCCACCUCUACCGUCGCCUCAAUCCGUGUCAACAAGGACAAGAUCCGGGCCAAUUCCCAGGCAGCCACACCUGUCAGUGCCACGCAGCUGACCCGCUGCCGGGGUGUGGUGAUGGGCCAUAUGGAACGCUUGCUGAGCCUAUGGAUUGAGGAGCAGAAGCGGCAGAACCUGCCCAUCAGCACACUGCUCAUCCAGGACAAGGCACGACGGCUCUUUGUGCAGCUGCAGCAUGAGCAGGGCAGUGGCACUCAGGCUGAGACCUUCGGGGCCAGUAACGGCUGGUUUGCCCGAUUCAAGGCUCGCAACAAUGUGCUUUUGACAGAUGAGCCAGCUGUGGCUGACACCCAGGCUGCUGCCCACUAUCCCCCAGUGCUGCGCACCAUUCUGGAGGAGGGCUGUUACUCACCACACCAAGUUUUCAACGUGGAUGAGACAGGCCUGUUCUGGAAGCGGCUGCCAGAGCGCAUGUUGCUGGCACUGGAGGGGGCAGCCGGGCCUGGCCUCAAGGCCUCUAAGGACCACUUGACCCUGCUGCUUGGUGGCAACGCAGCUGGUGACUUUAAACUGAAGCCUCUGCUAGUGUACCCCUCGGAGAAUCCACGUGCCCUCAAGGGCUGCUCCAAGGCCAGCCUUCCUGUGGUCUGGCGCUCCAACCGCAAUGACUGGCUGACACCCAGCAUCUUCCAGGAGUGGUUUACUGGCUGCUUCUGUCCUGCUGUGGAGAGCUACUGUGCCAGCCAUGGCCUCCCACACCGUGCCCUAUUGCUCCUGGAUGGUGCACCCUGCCACCCUGCUCACCUGGGUGGCCUCUCAGCCCACGUGAGGGUUGAGUUCCUGCCCAAGAACACAUCGGCCCUGAUCCAGCCCAUGAACCAGGGUGUCAUUGCCACAUUCAAGGCCUAUUACCUGCGCCGCACGCUCAGCCAGCUGGUCCAGGAGACGACUGGUGAAGACCGACCCUCUGUGCAGGAGUUCUGGCGCAGCUAUACUGUCGUGACUGCUGUGGACAAUAUAGCUGAAGCCUGGGCAGAGCUGCAGCCUGCCACCAUGAACAGCGCCUGGAGGAAGCUCUGGCCUGAGUGUGUCCCUGCUGGCACCCCUGAGCCUGACACUGUGCCUCAGCUCCGCCGCAGCAUUGUGGCACUAGCUCGGCAUGUGGGCCUUGGAGAUGCAGCUGAGGCUGAUGUUGCCAGCCUGCUGCAGGCCCAUGGGGAGCCCCCACCCCACAGCAUCCCCCAGGAUGCAAAGGAUGGGGACAUGAGUGGUUCUGGGCUGCCCUGGGAGACAGGGAAUGGCCUGGUCUCUAGAAAACAAGAGCCAGAUUUCACAGAGGCUGUGGUGGGUGCAGGCACUGAGGAAGCUGGUGUGGGUGCUCUGAGCCCUGAGCAUCUCGCCCAGGCUCUGUCUCACUUUGCUGCUGGUUUACAGGUCCUCAUAGAGAAUGAUCCAAACCGGGAGCGCAGCCUGCGGGUCUCCCGGGGUGUCCACUGUGCCCUUGCUCGCCUCCGGGAGCUACACCGGGAAAGGAGGCGACAGUCUCGGGCAGCUGCAUCCUCAGGAGGCCCUGUGGUGGUGGCAGCAAGGGAGUCGGCAGGAAGCCUGCCAUUGCUCCAAGUGGGUCCCAUAGAGGGUGGGCAAGUGGCUAAGGGCACAGGUCCUGAAGGUCAGACCUCUGGCUGUCCUAUAUGAUUUGGGGCUUGGACUUGACCUCACAUGAGUUCUGUCUAAUGGUGUUUUGUUUCUGGAGGUCAGAUACUGCUGCUUCUUCCCCAUGGUUCUCAUAUCUCAUGCUCUGUGGUCUUUGUAUAGUGACCCACGACUCUAGGCUUGGGGAACAGAAGGGUGGUGUCUUCUGAUUGGCAGAUGAGAUGCAGGGCCCACGAGUGCUCACCCAUGACAGAGAUACACCCUGUAGUAUGGUAGUUGCCCUGCACAGUCUGCCAGGGUGGUUUUCCUUGUGGGGGGCCAGAACUGAGACCAGCCUCUUCCAUUUUCCAAACCUGACCUCUCCCUGCACCAUUGUUACCCUUCCUAGCCAACUUUAGAUGAGGGUUUCCUGCUCUCGGCAUGUCCUUUCUCACUUUCCAUGCCAUCCUUACCUCUUCUGGCUUCCACGGCCUCUGUCGUCUCAGUGCCAGAGCACUUUGGCUCACUGUGACUGUUGAUACCAGGGAUCACUUGCUUGGUUUGGAAAUGUUUUCUUCUCUGAGUUUCUGUGGCAUGGUGUCUUGGUUUCCCUCCAGCCUCUGAGCUUUUUGUGAUUCUGACAGUCUCCUGGUUCUGGUGCUCUUUGGAAAAUACCAUCCACUCCUAAGAGCUCAGUGGUCACCUCACAGUUAGCGCCCAGUGCACUGGUUAUAGCCUAGCCUCUCAGAUGUUAGACCCAAAGCUCUAAUUCUGAUGGACACUGCCCUACCUCCUGACAGUCUUGUUGUCUCCCUUCAUUCCAGUUUGUUUUCCUGUCCCCCCAAACUGUAAUCACAGGCAUCAUGGGGUGUCCAUCUGAUUGCCGAAACACCGCUUGGGCCAGCAAACCACAGUCAGUCAGCAAGGGAAGGUGUUCUUGUGCUCUAGCUGGAUGAGCCACAGGUGGUGGGACAGGGAUGUCUGGGUUCCUGGACUCCUUUCAACACAGGUAUCUGCAUAUGUCUGCAUACAUGCACACGCACACGCGCGCGCGCACACACACACGUGCCAAGAAAUAAAGAUGGGAGAAAGGAUUCUUGCUACCUCUGUCUCAGCUAACAUUGCAUUGUUGGGCUUGCUGUGAACUCAUCACAUGGGUCGGGACCAGUGGCUUGAAGGAUCAGCCUUACUGGAAGAAAGGUGAGAUGAGGUCCCUUGCUUGCUUUCCUGGGGAGAAUGGUAAGGGGGAUGAGAAGGAGAAGGGAAGCUUUUCUUAGGAUUCUGGUGGCAGACUGGAUUGGUUGCACAAUGUAUGAGCACUUAUAAUGUGCUAGGUGUGGAUUCCAGGGUGAGUGAGACUGACUUCAGGAGCUGCCAGUCCAGAGGUUGUUACAUUCUAUGUGACAAGGCUAUGACAGGUCACUCAGGAGGGACCCCACCAAGCUGGGGACAUGGACAUGAUAGGGUAGGCUUUCUGGGGAAGUGGUGUCUCAGUCUUCAUCUUCAGGGACCUCGUUGACAAUCAGGAAACCCAUCAUUUCAAAAUGCCACGUUACAGAAGGGCUUGACAGACACAGCCCAGUGUGGUAGGGUGGUUUGUAAGGGCCUAAGGAAUGGGAGGAAGGAAUAUCCUCAACGGAGGCUGAAUGCGGUGCAGCAGCUGAAGGAGGCAGGUGACCAGGCAGGAGUCGUUGAGGCCAAAGCCCAGUGGGUGGAAGAUGUAGUUGCAUGAGCAGCCACUGGAGAUCUUGCAGACAUUGCAUAGCGGAGACUAGGCAUGCGUGUGCCCGUCUGGCUCCAGGGCUCGUUUGUUCAGAGCCGGGGACAGUGCCUGGCCCUCAACAAAUGAGUGGAGAGCCCUGGAUUCGUUCAACUAGCAACCUUUAGCAGGUCCCUGAACAUUUCCGGGGGGCCCUGGUGGUGCCACAGGGAAGCCCCGUGUCUCCUGUGAAAUGCACUGUCUGCAACUCUACAGGUUGGAUCUCUGACGCGUUGGGGACUACGUUUCCUAGAGAACCUAGCCGACAGAGGCGGCCUCCUACGCCUUUCAACUCCGGCAGCGGGCCGUUGCCAUAGACCUGCAGGAGCAACACACCCGUGUCCCUCACCUCUUGGCCUGCUUGCGUGGGUUGUCGAGUAGAGUUGGGGAGUGUUGGGGGGAUACAAGGCGCCGGAAGCAGUCAGUAGAGGGCCCGGAAGCUCCCGGUUCUUGUCCCCAGGGUGGUUGGUCAUUGUUCAAGCGCGGUGGGACUGGUCCGUGUGGCUGCUUGGGGCGGUGAGUCCUGGCGCAAUCCGGCCAGGAGUGUCGGAAAGGCCUGAGGUAGGGUGCGCAGCCGGUGGAGGACAGCAGGGGAGGUGGUGCAGAGAAGCACCACCCGUUUCCCUGGGAGCCCAGCUAGUCCUCCGGGAGAGGCGGCUCAGGGGCCCCUUGGCCCUAGAGUCUUGUGUGUGAGGGUCCUGGCCCGGAAGUGGUUCCGGGCUGAGGUCAGCUCUCGCCACCCUUCGCGGUUCCAUCAGCCGGUUGGCGCUGUUAUCCUACACGAGCCAAUUUUCUGGGCUUCCCUCGGGUGCUUCCUUUUUAGAUUCACACCCAACCUGCACCCUCAAAACUUCUCACUUCCUCUGGGGAGUCUCUGGAUUUCCUCAGUCCAGACCUGAGUUCCUUUUUGCUCCCACUACUUGUGCGUUCAUCUGUGAGAGUGAUGGGGAGGGGUGCUCCCCGCACAUGGCGAUUAAAAUCCAGACCCUUAUACUGCCAAACUCUCUGUAGGAUCGCCCUGGCCACAUGGCUCUUGCCUGUGCUGAUCCUGCUGGCCAGAAUGUUCUCUAGCCACUGCCUCUGGGCACCUGGUGGUUAGGUGGGUGUGCGGGGGGGCGGGGUGGUGGUGGUGGUGGUGGAGGAGGAGGAGGAGGAUGGAGGUUCCCCAGUCUGGGAACCCUGACCAACCCAUAUAACAACAUGUGCUGGCACUGAAAUUAUGUGUUAAAGUUGCAAUGGUAACAAAUGGUUGUUGCCAAAAAAAUUGCUACGGUGUGUAGAGAUUUAUGAAAGAAAAAGUGGACUCCUCCUCCAGUUACUUUCCCCAGAUUUGCUUGCUGGGAGUUUGUUUUUCAGGACCUGUUUCUGAACAUUUAUUAUAUAACAGUAGCUUCUGCAUACAUGCACACACACAUACACCUCAAAAUUUUGUUGCUUUAAAAUAUGUUAACAUUAGUGGGAUCACAUUGUGUGAGGACCACCACAGAUUAGUUUCUUGUUGAACAUUGUAGAGUGGACAUCUCUACUUGACAUUUGUUGAUCUUGGCUAAUUGGUAUAAGCUGAGCCUCUCGGGCUCUGUAGGAAUCUGCCAUGGGGGAAAGGAAGGCCUUCCAACGUAGGUGUCAGCUGUUGCUAUCCCUGCACCUGACCCAUGCUGGCUGCCCUGCAAUUGUUUUUAGUUUCCAUCUUUCUCUUCCAGUCUGUCCUCUAUGAUGAAGUUUUGGGGUGAUGGCGGGGGGGGGGGGUUCGUGGGGUCAGAGCCAAUGACCAAGAAAGGAUUCUUGAGGAUGUCUCUGGUGCAAAAAGAUGAUUUUAUCAAAGCAUGGGGACAGGACCUGUGGGCAGGAAGAGCUACACUGAGGUUGUGACAGGUAACUCAUUAUAUACCCUCAGGUUGGGAGGGGGUCAGGGAUAGAGUAUGUCUUUAAUGAAUUUUGGAAACAAGGUUUCCAGGACCUUGAGGGGCUAGCUGUUGCUAGGGAAAGACCAUUUAUCACCGUUUAAUAAAGCCUCAGUGACGAGACUCUUUAGAUGCAUAUCGGGGAACCAUAAGCUUGGAGUAUGAUUGCCAGCAUAUAUCUUGAAGCAGUUGAAAUAAAGGAAGUUGACUUAUAGGAUCCUUGAGGUUGGGAUAAUGUGAAGCCAAGUUUCUCUUUUGCUCCCAGCAAAGUGUCAUCCUUGAGGUAGCUGAACUCCUAGAGGGAGGUCACUCUGCCAGUCUCAAGGACCUGUUAAUGGGCUAUAGGUAGUAAGGGAAUUUAAUUUUUCAUUUGCCUUAGUUUCCCACAUCACCAUGGCAAGCACUUAAGCCCCUUUCCUUUGUUCUUGGGCAGCCAGGAGUGUCCCCAGCCCAGGAAUAUUACACAUAUUCCACCUGGGGGCAGGGGGCAGUAUGCCAGCCUAUAUUUUGCCCUUAGCUUGCCCUAUGUGCCCCCAUCACCCUACAUCACUCUUCCUAGUGUCUGGAAGAUUGUAUCCUUCACUUGCUCUGACCCUCCCUGGGCAUAGACCCUCUGCUAGUUCCCACCAGCACUUCUGCUUGGCUGUUGGUGGAGUUCUCUCAGUUCACUGAGAUAUGGCAUAUCCAUGCCCUCUAUCUCCAGGAACAACUCUUGUACCUUUACCUAGCCUGAUAUGAGCUACUGUAAACUCCCCCUGCAGGGGUGGGUUCACUCUUCUCUUGACCAGAUUCCCAGUGCCAGGUGUUCUCUUGAAGGCACAGAUGGGGAAGUUCAGGCUGGAGAUAUCCCCUACCAGGUUGCCAGCUAGCCAGACUUAGGGACAGUUUCUGCAACAGGAAGUGACCUUGAGGGUAUGGGUGGCUGGAAGGGCGUGCAUGGUCUGUGGCCCUGAUUGGGUGGGCAUUUGUCCCAGGAAGACAGUGUGUGGCCUGAGUGAGUGCAGGUGAGACCAGCUUCCCAAGGUCUUGCCAUGGCAGUAGACCCAGCACCCCUCAGUCAAGAAGAGCUUGUGGUCAUCAAGAGGGAGGAUGAUGAGGCCACCUCAUGGGAUCCUGAACCUCUCUCUAACCCUCAGCCCUCCACCCUGCUGUCCAGGCUUUGUAGGGACCCCUGACAGUGCUUCUGCAGCUUCUGCUAUGAAGAGGCAGCAGGGCCCUGAGAGGCCCUGGCCAGGCUAUGAGACCUUUGCUGCUGGUGAAUGAGGCCUGAGUCACACUCUAAGGAGCAAAUGAUGGAGCUGUUAGUGCUGGAGCAGUUCUUGGGUGUGUUGCCACCUGACACCCAGGUCUGGGUGGAGUCCCAGUGCCCUGAGAGUGCUGAGGAGGCUGCGGUGCUGGUGGAGAGCCUUGCUCAGAUGAUGCAGGAAACUGGUGAGCCACAGGGGCUCAGGGGCCUGGUUGGGAGGCCCAGGGGCUGGGGAAUGCAGAAGGGGACACAACCUACCACCCUGACCCAGUGUUCUUAUCACUGGGAAGAAGACUCAAAAGCUGCAACAUGUUUGGAGCAUUUUGUAGCCUGUGAGCCUCCCAGAGAUGUGAGCUUGACAUUGGUAUGACAUUUCACCCUCUCAGGGUGCACCAGGCCUCCUUUCUCUUCCUUCUUUCCUUACUCAAAAUGUCACUGGAUGCAUGCCAUGUUCCAGGCAUCUAAGUCAAUCAAGGAAGGAAACAAGCAAGGUUUCUGCCCUAUUGGAACUUGGUCUGUUUAGAGAGUUGGAUGGUGAGACCACCAGUCAUAAUUAGGGUAUCCUGUUUUCUCUGGAGGGGGUGGGGCACGAGGAGGUGAACAGAGAUUGGCCUCGCCAGGGAUGGCUUUGCAGUUCAUGCCAUGUGACAUCUUCACUUUGGGCAACAUGUGUCUGUAUGCCUGUGGGGAGGGGAUAAUCAUGAAACCGGCUGGAGAGAUGGUUGGAUAGGAUGCCAUCAUUCAUCCUGGCAUUUGUUCACUCAUUUGCUCACAGAUACCUAUGCAGUGUCUUUUGUCUUCGUGAUCCUCCAUAUCAAGAAGUAGAAAACCUAGUGAUGAAAAACAAAAACAGGUUUACUAAGUUAUAAUUUGCAUACAAAAAAAGUAUACAGUCCCUGGGUUUAGUAUAUUUGUGAGAUUAUAUAACCAUUACCAUUGCCUCAUACCAUAAUUUAAACAUCUCAGAGAAACUGUGCCCAUGAGGAGUCACUCCCCAUUUUACUCCUAAUGCCUUGGCAAACACUAAUAUUUGUGUCUCUAUGGAUUUGCUUAUUCUGGACAUUUCAUUAAAGGGAAUCAUAUGAUAUGUAGCUUUUUAUGACUUGCCUCAUUCAUUGAGUGUAAUGUUUUCAGUGUACAUUUAUGUUGUGGCAUGUAAUUGUCUCAUUUUUAUGGUUAAAUAAUAUCUACUAUGAGUAUAUCACAUUUUGUUUAUUCAUUUAUCUAUUAAUGGACAUUUGGGAUGUUUGUGCCUUUUGGCUAUUAUGUAUAAUGAUGCUGUGAAUGUAUGUCUAUGUGUUUUUAUGUGGACAAAUGUCUUCUUGGUUAUAUACCUGGGGGUGGAAUGACUGGUGAGGCUGUUUGACCUUUUGAGGAAUGCUAACAUAGCACUCGUUUUAACAGAGAGGAUUUUAAUGCAAAUAAUUUAACCUAGGUAUUGAAGGAAGAGAAAAGUAUAGAAAAAAUAAGGUGUCAUGGCUGUAGGGACUGCAGGGAAUAGUACCCUCCUACAGAUGUAGGAACAAAGGGAAGAGAUUGGAAUUGAGACAAUUGGAAACUGAAAAGAGGGCCAGUGCUGGGUGGUGCUGGGCUCUUUGAAGGGGACAUGAUGAAGCUGGUUCUGUACAUGCUGGAAAGGCUGAAAACUGGAUUCACUUACUGUUAAGGAAAACCUUGAUAAUGCAGGUUUUCACCUAGGCAUGAACGUGAGGUGCAGGCGAGACAUUUUGGAUGAAUGUGUCUGUAGUUUUUGUGGGGUGUUUGCUUGUGGUACUGUGCUCUUUUCUAAGCCUGUUGCUGGUGUUUUGAGGCGGGCUGUCUCCUGACUGUUUGCCUCCUCGUUAGAGGUCUUUUAGUUCCAGUUCCAAGCUUCUCACUGAAUAGAUGCUUAGGUGAUUACACACUAUAAAAAGAGAUUUUGCAGGGCACCUGGCUGGCUCAGUCAGAAGAGCAUGUGACUCUUGAUCUUGGGGUCAUGAGUUUGAGCCCCACAUUGGGUGUAGAGAUUACUAAGAAAAAAAACUUAAAAAGAAGAAAGAUUUUGCAUCAUAACAUUGUGGAUGUUGGAAUAGCAGCCUACUAGUAGGUCACUAAAUGGACUCAGGCCUGGUACUCAUGUGGAUCUUGUGGGAUGUGCAUAGUUACAUCCAUUCAUCCUUGAAAUAACACAGUUUCAAGUUUGCCAUAGUUCACAUUUACAUGAAGACUCCUGCCUUUGCUCCAUGCCCUUACCUGGUCUCGGCCUAUUGCUGGCCCCUCCAAUGCCCCCACGUGAGAGAGGGUAGAGGGGCUGGCCCUUGCUUUCUGUGGGUGGCCUUGGAGAUGAUUGUUGUGAUGCUGUCAGGGAUUCCAGAAGCCAAAUGUCUCAAACUAUUUCCUUGGCUGUCAAUGUCAAGGUAUGUGUGUGGGUCCCCAAGACCACUUUUAGUCUUAAUGAUAUGCUGGAAGGAGUCUCAGAAUUCAACAAGGCUGUUAUACUUGUGAUUAUAGUUUAUUAUAGCGAAAAGAUACAUAUUAAACUCAGCAAUGGAAAAAGGUGCAUAGUCUGGGAGAUAGUGGGCAUAAGUUUCCACAUGACCUUUCCCAGGGUAGUCAUGUGGACAAUGCUUAAUUCUCACAGCAAUGAUAUGUGACAGUGUAGCAGCCAGGGAUGCUUACCUGAGUUGUGGCAUCCAGGGUUUUUAUUGAGGGUUCAGUUACAUAGGUAUGGAGUAUACUAACCAUAGUUACUCAGUCUCAACUCCUCCCAGAGGUCAGGUUGGUACAAUGUGGACCAGGGUCACCACUGUAAGUCACAUUGUUAGCAUGAACUAUCUGGUUUGGCCUAAGUCCUUAGGUAAACAGAGAUACCUUUAAGAGGCAGAAUAUUCCAAGGGCUUAAGAGGUUACCUUUCAGGAGCAGGUCAAGGGCCAGACUUUUGGAAUGUGCAGGGUUUGGACAACCCAGGCUUGCUGAGUCAACCCUUUCCUGAACAUCUGGCUGCAGCCAAAGGAAGGCUCUCAUGACUGUUUCCUUGGUGUUUCAGUGAUUUGGGUUUCGGGGGCCUUGGAUGUACUCUUAAGGUAUGUAUGUGUAUGUGGACCAAAGGAGGAGGUGCAUGUUGGCCAGGGCAGGGUGUUCUGUGUGAUUUGGAUGGCAGUCCUUGUUCUCAUUCAGCUCAGAGUCCUGGGCCAGCAUCUGGGUACAUGUUAACUGCCUGGGUGCCUGACCUCUGUGUCCUUAGGGUGGGGCUGAGGGCACUAACACUUUCCUCUCCCCUCAGUGCUGGCCCAGUCUCAUCCCGAGGACCAGUGGUCUGGAGACCUGGCAGAGUCAGCCAAACUCUUCACAGAUGGAGCUCAGUUAUCUCUACCCCCCACAUGGGGCUCGAACUCACCACCCUGAGAUCAAGAGUUGCAUGCUCCUCCCACUGAGCCAGCCAUGUGCUCCACCAGUUUCCGGUUUAAAACAGCAUUUGGGUACUUGUGUGUUUGUGGUCCUAGCGGUAACCCAGGGGCUUCUCCAGGAGGAGAGAGGGUGUUGCUCACAGACAUGGACUGAGCCCACAUGGGAAGGAGAGCAGAUCAGCCAAGGAGCAUGCCCAGGGUCUCCUGCCAGGUGAGUGGGCCACACCCUGGCCCUCCCCACCCCUGACUGUCAUUCCUGGAGCUUCCUGAGAGACUGCAAAACCUGAGAACUCCUACAGUUGCCCUGUCCACAUGUACCCAAGCUGGGCUCAACAGACUUUCUGUGAGUCACUGACAUGCUGGUAGCUCUUGGGAAUAGCCAGGAUGCUUCACUGUGAAACUCCAGUCACAAGUCAGUAGUGCAAAGCUAAACUGUCAGAGAUGCUGUUCCUGAAAGAAACUGGUCGGCCUUGUUGUGGAAGGCUACUAGGGAAAUGAGUUUCCCUACUGCCUCUAGGCCCCUUGCCUGAUUCCACAGUAGCCUGUCUGGGUCAUUUUACCAUGCCCAUGUAUAGUUGACCCUUAAAUAGAAUGGGCUUGAACUGCCUGAGUCCACUUAUACGUGGGUUUUAUUUCAUAUAUAGAGUAUACUUCAGUAAAUGUAUUUUCUUUGUGUUUUUAAUAACAUUUUUUUCUAGCUUUAUUGUAAGAAUACAGUGUCUAAUACAUACACAAAAUAUGUGUUAAUUGACUGCUUAUGCUGUUGGUAAAACUUGCAGUCAACAGUAGUUAAUUAGUGAUCAAGUUUUUGGGGAGUCAGAAGUUAUAAGUGGAUUUUCAACUGCUUGGAGGGGGGUUGGUGCCCCAAACCUGUUUGUUGUUCAAAGGUUAGCUAUUCCCUCUAGCAAAACAAAACAACAACAGAACAAAAUCCAAGCAUUUUGAUAUCCUUAAUUACGUUGUUCACGGUCUCUGCAAGCUCAGAGCCAUGAAAUGUGUUUAUUCUAGCAGGACAGGUUUUUGUUUUCCUCCUUGUAUGCCUGGAAGCUCAGAGUUCAGUUUUAUGUACAGUUGUUGUAAAUUUUUGUACCCUGCUACAAUGUGCUGAGCACCCCCCCACCUCUCCCCCAUUACUUUCUGAUUUCUGUGUUUGGUCUGACAUCAGUGUGUUAUGUAUUGUAUCACACUGGAUCCUUCAGGAGGUGGGUUGAAGUGGGUGAUUUGGAACAGUGUGCCCAUUGGGAGGCAUUGUUGUAAAGUGGUAAUGGGUUUUCAGAAGCUUGCUCCAUUACUGAGGGUAAGUUAAUUUAGUCUAUGGGACCAGAGUUCAUCCAUUGCUCUGUGGCCAAAUGAAAGAGACUUAUCAAUGGUCUUUAGCAGGUUUUAUCCAAACUUGUCUGCACUCCCCACUAGUAAAAUUUUCUUCCCAUUUUACAGAGGGUCAGGGCCAGGGUGGCAGUGGCACUGAAAUCAGCAGUCACAGGGUGGGAACACACUUAUUCUUUAGCUGUGUCUGGAGAGAGUGAUGCAGACAGAGCCUCCUCUACCAUUUCUGGGCUGAAGAUCUCUUUGAAGAGGCCACCCAGCACAAGCCAGUGCCCAUGCACCAAGUGGGACCACAAGGCUAUCAACCUGCAGGAUAAGCUUGAGGUGUUGUGGCUCUUUGAAGCCGGAGAGAAGCUCAGCAGAAUCAGGAAUGCGCUGGGGCUCUCCACCUCCACCAUGGCUACCAUUCGUGACAACAAGGAGAAGAUCCGAGCCAGUUCCCAGGUGGCCACACUGCAGGCAGCCACCAAAUUGACGCACAGCUGCAGCCUGGUGAUGGAGAAUAUGGAGUGGAAGCUAAGUGUGUGGAUCAAUGACCAGAAUGAGCUCAAUGUGCCCAUCAACAUCAUGCUUGUCCAGGAGAAGGCUUGCAGCCUGUUCGAGGACCUCAAGUGGGAGCAGGGCGCAGGUGCCCAAUUGGAGACCUUCGGGGCAGUUGUGGGUGGUUCGCGUGUUUUAAGGCAUGCCAAAGCCUGCAUGCCUUGGGGUGGGUGGUGAGGCUGGGGGCUGCGAGGCCAUGGGCACAACUGCUGCAGCUGUGUGCAGGUACCCUGCCCUGCUUCAGAGAGUGAUCCAGGAGGGUGGCUACACACCAUGGUAGGUGUUCAACGUGGAUGAGACUGGGCUUUUCUGGAAGCGACUGCCUGACAGGACAUUCCUUUCCCUGGAGGAGAAAUCAGCCCCUGGGUGCAAAGCUGCCUGAGAUAUCCUGACGCUGCUACUCAGUGGCAGUGCGGCUGGCGAUCUCAUUGAAGUUGCUGCUGGUGUAUCCCUCAGAGAACUCUCACACCCUCAAGGGCUUCUCCAAGCCCAACCUGCCUGUGGUGUAGCGUUCACACAAGAAAGCCUGGGUGACCAUGAGCAUCUUCCAGGAGUGGUUUGUGCACUUCUUCUGCCCAGUUGUGGAGAGGUUCUGUGCCCAUCACUGCUUGUCUUGGACAGUGUCCCUGGCCAUCCUGGGAACCUGGACAACCUCUCCGACCAUGUGUGUGUGGAGUACUUGCCCAAGAACACGACGGCCCUCAUCCAGCCCAAGAACCAGGGCAUUGUUGCCACCUUCAAGGCCUGCUGCUUAUGGAGGGUCUUCUGCCUGUUGGCGUUGAGGGUGGGAGGCAGGGACCAGCAGUCUGUGGUCUUUGACUUCUGGCAAGUAUACAGCAUCCUUGAUGGUGUCUACAACAUCUCUGAGUCCUGGGAGGAGGUCCCACCAGCGACGCUGAGUAGGGGGUGGAGAAAGCUGUGGCCUCAGUGCGUCAAGCGGGAGGCCAGCAGGCUGCAUGUGGAAACUCUACUACAGAUCCAGCAGGACAUCCUGGCACUGACACAUGUUGCAGGUUUCAGAGAGGUGGCAGAGGCAGCUGUGGUUGAGUUGCUUUAGAGCCCUGGGGCAGACCUGUCCAACGAGGAACUGAUUAGCAAUUGGAUGCUAAUUGUCACCCUGUCCUGUUCUCUGAAAUGAUGCUGUGCCCCAUCUGAUUGGUUGGGGAGAGAGAGGAGAGACUGGUGGGUGAGCUAGAGAGGUAGAAUACUCACCAGAUCUCCAAGCCCCCAGCAAGGGGCAUCCUCAUGGCUGCAGGUGUCCCUUGGCCAGAACUCGAUGCUAAUUCUUCCUUUCUUCUUGUCUCCUCCCCUGGUCUCUCUGCCUUGCACUCCUCUCUUUACCGGUUUCCAUUUGAUACCUGCCAUGCCCUUUUGACUUUCUUCUCCCUGUGGACACGGCUCAUUCCAGACAGUGGUGGCAUUUGGAGAAAAGGCCGUGGAUCCCACAAGGGAAUGCUGGGGGCCACCCAUUGCUCUGCAGAAGGUGACCUUUGGGGAUGUGACCUGUUUGGGUAAGGAUGCGGAUUUUGGGGAGUGGGUUGGCCUUAUUGCUGGACAUACAGGCCCUCAGGUGAGUGGUCUGUCUCCAGCUAUGGGUUCCUGCUGCAGAAGGUCUUUACUCGAGACUACCUUCUUUCCACAGGAGUCGGGAGAUGGAGGGCUGCUCUAGAGGACUGGUUAUUGUUUAAAUUUGGCCUGAAGGUUUUGCUGUCAAGCCUAGAUGCCCACACAUCUCCCAUCUGCCUUCUGUACACACCUGUGCACACCUGGCGGGCAUAUGUCCAGACUCCAGCUCAUAUUACAUACAUGAAAUGAGUACUACCUGCUGGCUGGACCUAUCACACCUGAGCAGGAAAUUCUUCUAUCCCAAAACUUGGGCCAUCUUGGACACCCAGAGCUCUGGCUUCUCCUGGGAGUGGCUACUGUGGGUGUAUCUUGAGAUCCCAGGGUUGCCGGUCAGCUAUUCCCAUUUGGGUGUCUGCACCACUCAAUGUAGAAUCAGAGUCAGAUCAACAACAACAACAACAACAACAACAACAAAAAUCAGAGUCAGAUGAAAGAUUGAUUUUAAACACCAUUUUUGGAUAUGUUAAUCAGAUAAGGGAAGAGUCACUUGCUGUUAGUUUGCCAUGGGGUGUGGGGCAUGUGGCCCAUUUCCAUUUAGGAGUCCAAGCCUGCUGGUCAGUGAGUGCCCAACUGCCCCAACAGGGAGACCUGGCUGAGCGUUUUUGGUAAACUGUGCCUGCAUUACUUUCCACCUGGUAUUGCUCCCCACUGUUAUCACAGCUCCCAACUGCAUCCAGGGAGGAUCUUGGGUGUGAUGCCAAACAGUGUUAUCGUUGUUUUGACCUUUUGCUGUCUAAAAAGACAGAAGAUAAUUCCAUGUAUUUCACAAGUGACAAGUACAGUGAGAUCAUUGAACAAGUGAAACAUACCAAACUACAAAAGAGGAAGUCUACCCUCUUGCUCCGCUGCCUGAAGUGAUUUGUUGUCUGUAUUGGGAACGAGGAAAUGCCAGUUAUCCCCCUGUCAGAGGCAACAUGAGCUUUUGCUACCGUAUUAAAAACAAGAACAUGUAUGAUGUGCUACACGAGGCCCAUGUUAGCAUUGGGCAUGGAGGGAAGCCUAGGAUGCUGGCAGAGCUAAAGAGAUAUAAGAAUGUGACACGGGAAGCCAUACUCCUAUACUUGAAGCUAUAUGCAAAUCCUGUCAGCAGGAGUUGCAUCCUCUGAAGAAAGGUAUGUUGAAGACUGAUGUUUGUGGAGACCAGGAGCCAGUGCCAGGUGGACCUUAUUGACAUGCAGUCGCAGGCCAACGGACAAUUCAAAUUCAUCAUGGUCUACCAGGGACACACAACCAAAUUUGUCCAGUUGAGGCCUCUGACCAGCAGUAGUGGUGCGGAUGUGGCCAGAUGUCUGCCAGACAUCUUCUGCAUCUAUGGGGCCCCUGCUGUUCUCCAGUCUGGGAAUGGAAGAUACUUUGCAAAUGAGGUGAAUGGUGUAUUUAAAGGCACAUGGAGUGGCUUAACAAUUAUGACCAGAAAGCACCAUCUGAGCCAGAGCCCAGGCAGCCUAGAGAAGGGCCACCGACACAUGGAGAGCAUGCUUGUGCCUGGUUCACACAGAGGGGACCAGCACUUGGAUCCUGGGGCUGCACUUUGUCCAAGUGAUGAAGAACAGAAUGUUUUUUGUUGUUUUGUUUUAUUUUUCAUUUUUAAAGAUUUUAUUUUAAGUAAUGUGUAUACCCAAUGUGUGGCUCGAACCCACAACCCUGAGGUCAAGAGUCGCAUGUUCCACUGACUAAGCCACCAGGUGGCCCAAAGAACAGAUUGUUUAACUGGAGCAUCUGGAGCUCACCUUAUGAGGUGAUAUUUGUUUGUGACAUCAAAGUAGAUCUAUCAGUGUCCUCACUGUCCAGUGGAGCACUCGGCAGGCUGGAGACAGAAGAGGAUCUGGAGGAGCUGCUGCAGAGUGUAAGAAUAGAUACUCAGAGGUCUGAGAAUGAACACGGUGGCCUCACUGUCCCCUUGCUGGAGGUGCCAAGAGUGGUGUAUGCCCUCUGGGCUGUGGGGAAGCCCAUGUACGUGAAUCCUGCAUGACACAUGUGUACGUGUCUGUGGCAAAGACUCUGGGUUUUGGGAAUGUGGAGACUCAGGCGUCCAGGAGAGCCUUGUUGCUUCCCUCAAGACUCUGUCACUCCCAUUUAAGAAAGUGAAGUUGGACUCUGUCAAAGCACUUUCUGGUCCUGGUAUUGGCGACACUGGCAGAAUUUCCGUCCUGGAUUUAGACAGGGAAGGCUGAGCUCAGAAACAUCCUGUGUGUGAUCCUUUCCAUCGAAGAUGGACAGUUUUAUUGAUUAGGCAACAAACUGGGAACGAUUGGGCAGUUUUUCAUGAGGAGACAGUUCACGAUGUUUUCAGAGGCUUCGGUUUCCAUCAAGGAGGUCUCACCUGAGGAAUGGUCCCUGAGGGAACUCUCAAGGGUCCUGUCUGUCACUGGCGGGAAGGGACACAGGCAGUGCGUAUGUAAAAGUCAAGUGUGGGACCAACAAAUGUCCCUGCAGAGCCUCCCAGUUUCCUCUGUUCCCCCAAGUGUCAUCUCAGUUUCUGCUGUAAUUAAUGACCAGAUGCUGAUGAAGUUCUCUGCAGCCCUCCUCUCUGUGAAUCAGAAACUUCUGACAUGAGGAACCUGGAACCUGAGCCUCUGCCUUUCUUUCUUUGCAUUGUUGUACUGAUCACCAAAUGGGCUUUAUCUGUGGUCAGGGGUUGGUUGACUUCAGCGUAAAUGUGUUCAAUAAAGAACUGUUUUUAUUUGACUGUG